rnacentral:rRNA from 1 species
AGAGUUUGAUCAUGGCUCAGAUUGAACGCUGGCGGCAGGCCUAACACAUGCAAGUCGAACGGUAACAUUUCUAGCUUGCUAGAAGAUGACGAGUGGCGGACGGGUGAGUAAUGCUUGGGAACUUGCCUUUGCGAGGGGGAUAACAGUUGGAAACGACUGCUAAUACCGCAUAAUGUCUACGGACCAAACGGGGCUUAGGCUCCGGCGCAAAGAGAGGCCCAAGUGAGAUUAGCUAGUUGGUAAGGUAAUGGCUUACCAAGGCAACGAUCUCUAGCUGUUCUGAGAGGAAGAUCAGCCACACUGGAACUGAGACACGGUCCAGACUCCUACGGGAGGCAGCAGUGGGGAAUAUUGCACAAUGGGGGAAACCCUGAUGCAGCCAUGCCGCGUGUGUGAAGAAGGCCUUCGGGUUGUAAAGCACUUUCAGUUGUGAGGAAAAGUUAGUAGUUAAUACCUGCUAGCCGUGACGUUAACAACAGAAGAAGCACCGGCUAACCCCGUGCCAGCAGCCGCGGUAAUACGGAGGGUGCGAGCGUUAAUCGGAAUUACUGGGCGUAAAGCGCACGCAGGCGGUUUGUUAAGCUAGAUGUGAAAGCCCCGGGCUCAACCUGGGAUAGUCAUUUAGAACUGGCAGACUAGAGUCUUGGAGAGGGGAGUGGAAUUCCAGGUGUAGCGGUGAAAUGCGUAGAUAUCUGGAGGAACAUCAGUGGCGAAGGCGACUCCCUGGCCAAAGACUGACGCUCAUGUGCGAAAGUGUGGGUAGCGAACAGGAUUAGAUACCCUGGUAGUCCACACCGUAACGCUGUCUACUAGCUGUUUGUGACUUUAAGUCGUGAGUAGCGAAGCUAACGCGCUAA